rnacentral:tRNA from 1 species
GGAGGGGCCAUAGCUCAGUGGCAGAGCAUCUGUUUUGCAUGAAGAAUAACCCAGGUUCAGUUCCCGGCAUCUCCA